rnacentral:rRNA from 1 species
UUAACGGGUGAGGAACACGUGAAGAAUCUGCCCUCCACUUUGGGAUAACACCGGGAAACCGGUGCUAAUACUGAAUAUUGAAACAUAAGUGGCAUCACUGAGUUUUGAAAGAAUUUCGGUGGAGGAUGACUUCGCGGCCUAUCAGCUAGUUGGUGAGGUAAUGGCUCACCAAGGCAACGACGGGUAGCCGGCCUGAGAGGGCGACCGGCCACACUGGGACUGAGACACGGCCCAGACUCCUACGGGAGGCAGCAGUGGGGAAUAUUGGGCAAUGGAGGAAACUCUGACCCAGCGACGCCGCGUGCGGGAUGAAGGCCUUCGGGUUGUAAACCGCUUUCAGUAGGGAAGAAGCGAAAGUGACGGUACCUACAAAAGAAGCACCGGCUAACUAUGUGCCAGCAGCCGCGGUAAUACAUAGGGUGCAAGCGUUGUCCGGAAUUAUUGGGCGUAAAGAGCUCGUAGGUCGUUUGUUACGUCGGAUGUGAAAACCUGAGGCUCAACCUCAGGCCUGCAUUCGAUACGGGCAAACUAGAGUUUGGUAGGGGAGACUGGAAUUCCUGGUGUAGCGGUGGAAUGCGCAGAUAUCAGGAGGAACACCAAUGGCGAAGGCAGGUCUCUGGGCCAAUACUGACACUGAGGAGCGAAAGUCUGGGGAGCGAACAGGAUUAGAUACCCUGGUAGUCCAGACCGUAAACGGUGGGCACUAGUUGUGGGAACCUUCCACGGUUUCUGCGACGCAGCUUACGCAUUAAGUGCCCCGCCUGGGGAGUACGAUCGCAAGAUUAAAACUCAAAGGAAUUGACGGAGCCCCGCACAAGCAGCGGAGCAUGCGGCUCAAUUCGACGCAACGCGAAGAACCUUACCAAGGCUUGACAUAUAGGGAAAAGUGACAGAGAUGUCAUGUCCCCAAGGGCUCUAUACAGGUGGUGCAUGGUUGUCGUCAGCUCGUGUCGUGAGAUGUUGGGUUAAGUCCGCCAACGAGCGCAACCCUCGUUCUGUGUUACCAGCAUUUAGUUGGGGACUCACAGGAGACUCCCGGGGUUAACUCGGAGGAAGGUGGGGAUGACGUCAAAUCAUCAUGCCCCUAUCGUCUUGGGCUGCACGCAUGCUACAAUGGCCCGUACA